AGUAGUUGGAAUGAAUGGCUUAAGUGCCCUUAGCUAAUGUUUGGUAUUCGUUGGCCUAUUUGUAGACCUUGGGGAGCCCGAGGCGUAGAUUGGAAUUUACUUUAGAUCGGCUAGCUUGGAGUGCGUACGAGGUAUGUAAAGCUUAGCCCUUCUUUCGUUUGGCAUGCUCUAGUUGUAAAUAGGCUAGACUACUAGCCUUAAGGAAAUCCUAAAUUCGAAAUCCGAUUUCGCUAUGAUCUUUACAUAUAUUCUUUGGCAUUCCUAUGUAUGAUAUGAUGAAAUAUGAACUAUUAUGCCUUUGAAGAAACUGAUUUCCAAACUUUGCACAAUAAGUUGUUUUAAAGAAUUCCGAGCUAUAAACGCCAUAUCUUCCUCCGAAAGGUUCGGAUUACUUUAAUAUUUUGGUAAGAGUUUAUAUAGCAUAUGAUGAAUAUAUUUUCUAUAGGCGGGCCCGACUCGGGUCAAUACCCGUCCGUGGGUCCCGCGACUUUCCUUUAUGUAAUUCGGAAAUUUUUUGAAAGAAUUUGUUAUGAUUAUUAUUUCGAAUUUCAAGUAUGAUCAUUUUGCUUAUGUUUGAAUUUAUGAUUUUAUGCAUAUGACUACUCACGACUCUACUCGUGCAUUCUGUUAUUCUUUCGCUGAGUCCCGGGCCGGUUCUGUUAUCGUGCGCACUUUGAUAUACUCCGGAGUUAUGCUGUGUUUAUGGUUCACCGAGCUACUCGCAAAAGAGGGUCGGGUUCCACUUAUAUUUGGUGUUAUGUUGGGUAUGGCGUUAUGCUGUGAUGUGAUAUGUGACGGAGAUACGGAGAUUUGAGACUUUCCGGUGUUAUGCUGUGUUAUGGUGCCAUCGACGGGCGGGCGACCAUAUUCUUCUGUACCCUAUGCAUGACUUGUAUUUUUUUUUAACCUAAACAUUUGGAUAUGAUUGGGUUUGUACUUAUGUUCGGCACUUCUGUUUCGUCUAUGCCUCAGGUACAGACGCACAGUUUGGUGAUCUACCCAUUUAGGACACCCUCUUCUGCUGUUUGGAGUGCUCUUCUCAUUUCAGAGCGCAAAAUUUGGUAUAUAUAUUUGUUCGCUAUGUAUAUAUGUAUUUGUUCAGGGGUACGGCGGGGUCCUGUCCCGCCAUAUGAUUCGGUUUGUCUGUUUAGAGGUCUGUAGACGUAUUGUGGGUGUGUGUGCCUACUUCUGUACAGAUGUGUUUGUAUGAUCUCAUUUGUUAUGGCAGCCUCGUCGGCGUGCAUUUUGUGUAUGUUUAUGGCAGCCUUGUCGGCGUGCAUCCUGUAUGUGUUUUGGGCCGUUGUGCCAUUUGACAGCCUUGUCGGCUUUUGAUACAUUUGACAGCCUUGCCGGCUUUUUGAUAUAUGUGCAUAUGUUCGGCGAUGUAUAUUCCGCCGCCUCUUCUGAUUCUGAUA